rnacentral:rRNA from 1 species
AUUGAACGCUGGCGGCAGGCUUAACACAUGCAAGUCGAACGAGUGGCGGACGGGUGAGUAAUGCUUGGGAGUCUAGCUUAUGGAGGGGUAUGACUACGGGAAACUGUAGCUAAUACCUCGUACCAUCGGAUGGGCACAAGUGGGAUUGGGUAGUUGGUGGGGUAAAGGCUCACCAGGCCGACGAUCGCUAGCUGGUCUGAGAGGAUGACCAGCCACACGGGGACUGAGACACGGCCCAGACUCCUCCGUGAGGCAGCAGUGGGGAAUAUUGCGCAAGGGGGGCAACCGGACGCAGACAUGCCGCGGGAAUGAAGAAGGCCUCCGGGUUGUAAAGUUCUUUCGGUAGCGAGGCGUUAACUAAAGAAGAAGCACCGGCUAACUCCGUGCCAGCAGCCGCGGUAAUUC